rnacentral:rRNA from 1 species
UGGGGAAUAUUGCACAAUGGGGGAAACCCUGAUGCAGCGACGCCGCGUGAAGGAUGAAGUAUUUCGGUAUGUAAACUUCUAUCAGCAGGGAAGAAAAUGACGGUACCUGACUAAGAAGCCCCGGCUAACUACGUGCCAGCAGCCGCGGUAAUACGUAGGGGGCAAGCGUUAUCCGGAUUUACUGGGUGUAAAGGGAGCGUAGACGGUAUGGCAAGUCUGAUGUGAAAACCCGGGGCUCAACCCCGGGACUGCAUUGGAAACUGUCGGACUAGAGUGUCGGAGAGGCAAGUGGAAUUCCUAGUGUAGCGGUGAAAUGCGUAGAUAUUAGGAGGAACACCAGUGGCGAAGGCGGCUUGCUGGACGAUGACUGACGUUGAGGCUCGAAAGCGUGGGGAGCAAACAGG